rnacentral:miRNA from 1 species
CGUGAGCUGAAGCUGGUGGCUCCC